rfam:Oryza sativa Japonica Group DNA, chromosome 6, cultivar: Nipponbare, complete sequence.
UUUAAAUACAAUUAUAUGUUUUUUUUCCAACGUUUGACUAUCCGUCUUAUUUAAAUUUUUUGUAUGAUUGGUACUUUUGUUGUUACUAGAUGAUAAAACAUGAAUAAAACUUUACGCGUGACUUUUUCUUCAUUUUUUAUAAUUUUUUUAAAAAAACGAACGGUCAAAUAUUAGACAUGGAAACCCAUAACUACGCUUAAA